GUGGCAGAAUGGUUUAUCGCAGCGGUCUUGAAAACCGCCGUGGGGUUAAGCUCCACCAAGGGUUCGAAUCCCUUCCUGUCCGCCA
rnacentral:tRNA from 1 species